rnacentral:rRNA from 1 species
UCGAGAAUUUUUCACAAUGGGCGCAAGCCUGAUGGAGCGACGCCGCGUGGGGGAUGAAUGGCUUCGGCCCGUAAACCCCUGUCAUUUGCGAUCAAACCCCGGUAUUUAAAAGAUGCCGGGCUGAUAGUAGCGGAAGAGGAAGGGACGGCUAACUCUGUGCCAGCAGCCGCGGUAAUACAGAGGUCCCAAGCGUUGUUCGGAUUCACUGGGCGUAAAGGGUGCGUAGGUGGUGGGGCAAGUCGGAUGUGAAAUCUCGGAGCUUAACUCCGAAACUGCAUUGGAAACUGCCUUGCUAGAGGUUUGGAGGGGGGACUGGAAUGCUUGGUGUAGCAGUGAAAUGCGUAGAUAUCAAGCGGAACACCAGUGGCGAAGGCGAGUCCCUGGACAACACCUGACACUGAGGCACGAAAGCUAGGGGAGCAAACAGG